rnacentral:rRNA from 1 species
UGAGAGGGCGACCGGCCACACUGGAACUGAGACACGGUCCAGACUCCUACGGGAGGCAGCAGUGGGGAAUCUUCCGCAAUGGGCGCAAGCCUGACGGAGCAACGCCGCGUGAGCGAAGAAGGCCUUCGGGUUGUAAAGCUCUGUCCCGGGGGAAGAACAAAUGACGGUACCCCGGGAGGAAGCCCCGGCUAACUACGUGCCAGCAGCCGCGGUAAAACGUAGGGGGCGAGCGUUGUCCGGAAUUACUGGGCGUAAAGGGCGUGUAGGCGGUUGCGCAAGUCAGUAGUGAAACCCGUCGGCUUAACCGGCGGCUGGCUACUGAAACUGCGCGACUUGAGUGCAGUAGUGGGGAGUGGAAUUCCCAGUGUAGCGGUGAAAUGCGUAGAUAUUGGGAGGAACACCAGUGGCGAAAGCGGCUCCCUGGCCUGUAACUGACGCUGAGGCGCGAAAGCGUGGGUAGCAAACAGGAUUAGAUACCCUGGUAGUCCACGCCGUAAACGAUGGGUGCUAGGUGUUGCGGGUAUCGACCCCCGCAGUGCCGCAGUUAACGCAAUAAGCACCCCGCCUGGGGAGUACGGCCGCAAGGCUGAAACUCAAAGGAAUUGACGGGGGCCCGCACAAGCGGUGGAGCAUGUGGUUUAAUUCGACGCAACGCGAAGAACCUUACCAGGUCUUGACAUCCCCUGCCAGUCGUAGAAAUACGGCCUUCUCCUUUGUGGAGACAGGGAGACAGGUGGUGCAUGGUUGUCGUCAGCUCGUGUCGUGAGAUGUUGGGUUAAGUCCCGCAACGAGCGCAACCCCUACCUUUAGUUGCCAGCAAGUAAAGUUGGGCACUCUGGAGGGACUGCCGUUGACAAAACGGAGGAAGG